rnacentral:rRNA from 1 species
UGAGUAACGCGUGAGCGACCAACCUUGCACGAGGGGGAUAACGGACCGAAAGGUUCACUAAUACCGCAUGAGACCACGGUGUUGCAUGACACAGAGGUCAAAAGGAGCAAUCCGGUGCAAGACGGGCUCGCGUCCGAUUAGGUAGUUUGGUGGGGUAAUGGCCCACCAAGCCUAUGAUCGGUAGCCGACCUGAGAGGGUGAUCGGCCACAUUGGAACUGAGAUACGGUCCAAACUCCUACGGGAGGCAGCAGUGGGGAAUAUUGGGCAAGUUACGGGGGGAAACCCUGACCCAGCAACGCCGCGUGAAGGAAGAAGGUUUUCGGAUUGUAAACUUCUGUCCUUGGUGAAGAGAAGAAGACGGUAGCCAAGGAGGAAGCCCCGGCUAACUACGUGCCAGCCGCCGC